rnacentral:rRNA from 1 species
CCUACGGGGGGCUGCAGUGAGGAAUAUUGCGCAAUGGACGAAAGUCUGACGCAGCGACGCCGCGUGGAGGAUGACGGUUUUCGGAUUGUAAACUCCUGUUAAGUGGGAAGAAAUCUCCAGCUCUAAUACAGCUGGAGGAUGACGGUACCAUUAGAGAAAGCACCGGCUAACUUCGUGCCAGCAGCCGCGGUAAUACGAGGGGUGCUAGCGUUAUUCGGAUUUACUGGGCGUAAAGGGUGUGUAGACGGUAUGUUAAGUCGGUUGUUAAAUACUUCGGCCUAACCGAAGAUCAGCGAUCGAAACUGGCAUGCUAGAGGAUGGAAGAGAGAAGUGGAAUUCUCGGAGUAGCGGUAAAAUGCGUAGAUCUCGAGAGGAACACCGAUGGCGAAGGCAGCUUCUUGGUCCAUUCCUGACGUUGAAACACGAAAGCGUGGGGAGCAAACAGGAUUAGAUACCCUUGUAGUC